rnacentral:rRNA from 1 species
AUUGAACGCUGGCGGCAGGCCUAACACAUGCAAGUCGAACGAGUGGCGGACGGGUGAGUAAGGUCUGGGAAACUGCCUGAUGGAGGGGGAUAACUACUGGAAACGGUAGCUAAUACCGCAUACCAUCAGAUGUGCCCAGAUGGGAUUAUCUAGUUGGUGGGGUAACGGCUCACCAAGGCGACGAUCCCUAGCUGGUCUGAGAGGAUGACCAGCCACACUGGAACUGAGACACGGCCCAGACUCCUACGGGAGGCAGCAGUGGGGAAUAUUGGGCAAUGGGCGCAAGCCUGAUCCAGCCAUGCCGCGUGUAUGAAGAAGGCUUUCGGGUUGUAAAGUACUUUCAGCGGGGAGGCGUUACCCGCAGAGAAAGCACCGGCUAACUCCGUGCCAGCAGCCGCGGUAAUUC